UCCGUAGGCGGGGUAAUCAGUCAGUGGUGAAAGUCUGCAGCUUAACUGUAGAAUUGCCAUUGAUACUGUUAUCCUUGAGUUAUUAUGAAGUGGUUAGAAUGAGUAGUGUAGCGGUGAAAUGCAUAGAUAUUACUCAGAAUACCGAUUGCGAAGGCAGAUCACUAAUAAUACACUGACGCUGAUGGACGAAAGCGUAGGUAGCGAACAGGAUUAGAUACCCUGGUAGUCC
rnacentral:rRNA from 1 species